UACGUAGGGGGCAAGCGUUGUCCGGAUUUAUUGGGCGUAAAGAGCGUGUAGGCGGCCUGACAGGUCUGCUGUGAAAACUCGAGGCUCAACCUCGAGAUGUCGGCGGAAACCGUCUGGCUAGAGUCCGGAAGAGGAGAGUGGAAUUCCUGGUGUAGCGGUGAAAUGCGCAGAUAUCAGGAGGAACACCUAUUGCGAAGGCAGCUCGCUGGGACGUAACUGACGCUGAGACGCGAAAGCGUGGGGAGCAAACAGG
rnacentral:rRNA from 1 species